rnacentral:piRNA from 1 species
UGGACACUAUAUUCUAUACCCUUACCCU